CCCUUAGAUGUUCUGGGCCGCACGUGCGCUACACUGACGAAUGCAACGAGCUUAUAACCUUGGCCGAAAGGUCUGGGUAAUCUCCAAAUUUCGUCGUGAUGGGGAUAGAUUAUUGCAAUUAUUAAUCUUCAACGAGGAAUGCCUAGUAAGCGCAAGUCAUCAGCUUGCGUUGAUUACGUCCCUGCCCUUUGUACACACCGCCCGUCGCUCCUACCGAUUGAAUGGUCCGGUGAAGCGCUCGGACCGCGGCCUCUUGACGGUUCGCUGUCGAUUGGCUGUGGGAAGUUCGUUAAACCUUAUCAUUUAGAGGAAGGAGAAGUCGUAACA
rnacentral:rRNA from 1 species